rnacentral:ncRNA from 1 species
UCUACCGGCUAAUGGGCUUUAUUAACUUUUAUGCUGAACCAAAACUGCAUAAGUGGUAGAACACUUCAUAGAAACACUUAGCGCUAUUGAGUGUGAUGAAAAUCUGCAAAGUGUAUAAGGUUUAAAAAUUUGGCAUUUAACUGUUAGAAAUAGCGCUUCUAGCAGUUUUUU